AGUUUGAUUCAUGCUCAGGAUGAACGCUGGCGGCGUGCUAAUACAUGCAAGUCGAGCGAACGGACGAGAAGCUUGCUUCUCUGAUGUUAGCGGCGGACGGGUGAGUAACACGUGGAUAACCUACCUAUAAGACUGGGAUAACUUCGGGAAACCGGAGCUAAUACCGGAUAAUAUUUUGAACCGCAUGGUUCAAAAGUGAAAGACGGUCUUGCUGUCACUUAUAGAUGGAUCCGCGCUGCAUUAGCUAGUUGGUAAGGUAACGGCUUACCAAGGCAACGAUGCAUAGCCGACCUGAGAGGGUGAUCGGCCACACUGGAACUGAGACACGGUCCAGACUCCUACGGGAGGCAACAGUAGGGAAUCUUCCGCAAUGGGCGAAAGCCUGACGGAGCAACGCCGCGUGAGUGAUGAAGGUCUUCGGAUCGUAAAACUCUGUUAUUAGGGAAGAACAUAUGUGUAAGUAACUGUGCACAUCUUGACGGUACCUAAUCAGAAAGCCACGGCUAACUACGUGCCAGCAGCCGCGGUAAUACGUAGGUGGCAAGCGUUAUCCGGAAUUAUUGGGCGUAAAGCGCGCGUAGGCGGUUUUUUAAGUCUGAUGUGAAAGCCCACGGCUCAACCGUGGAGGGUCAUUGGAAACUGGAAAACUUGAGUGCAGAAGAGGAAAGUGGAAUUCCAUGUGUAGCGGUGAAAUGCGCAGAGAUAUGGAGGAACACCAGUGGCGAAGGCGACUUUCUGGUCUGUAACUGACGCUGAUGUGCGAAAGCGUGGGGAUCAAACAGGAUUAGAUACCCUGGUAGUCCACSCCGUAAACGAUGAGUGCUAAGUGUUAGGGGGUUUCCGCCCCUUAGUGCUGCAGCUAACGCAUUAAGCACCUCCCCCCCCCUGGC
rnacentral:rRNA from 1 species